rnacentral:tRNA from 1 species
CAAUUUAUAGCUUAGUUAAAGCAUCUUGCUUACACCAAGAAAACACCCGUUAAACUCUGGUUAAAUUGA